UGACCUUCGCUGCCGUUGGGAUAUCUAAU
rnacentral:piRNA from 1 species